UACGUAGGGUGCAAGCGUUGUCCGGAAUUAUUGGGCGUAAAGAGCUCGUAGGCGGUUCCGUAAGUCAGAUGUGAAAACUCAGGGCUCAACCCGGAGACGCCGUCUGAUACUGCGGUGACUGGAGUCUGGUAGGGGAACACGGAAUUCCUGGUGUAGCGGUGAAAUGCGUAGAUAUCUGGAGGAACACCGGUGGCGAAGGCGGCAUCCUGGACCAACACUGACGCUGAGGAGCGAAACCCAGGGGAGCAAACGGG
rnacentral:rRNA from 1 species